CCUACGGGAGGCAGCAGUGGGGAAUAUUGGACAAUGGGCGCAAGCCUGAUCCAGCCAUACCGCGUGUGUGAAGAAGGCCCUAGGGUUGUAAAGCACUUUAAGUUGGGAAGAAAAGUUAUUGGUUAAUACCCAAUAGCCGUGACAUUACCAUCAGAAUAAGGACCGGCUAAUUCCGUGCCAGCAGCCGCGGUAAUACGGAAGGUCCAAGCGUUAAUCGGAAUUACUGGGCGUAAAGCGCGCGUAGGUGGUUUAUUAAGUUGGAUGUGAAAUCCCCGGGCUCAACCUGGGAACUGCAUCCAAAACUGAUUCACUAGAGUACGAUAGAGGGAGGUAGAAUUCACAGUGUAGCGGUGGAAUGCGUAGAUAUUGUGAAGAAUACCAAUGGCGAAGGCAGCCUCCUGGAUCUGUACUGACACUGAGGUGCGAAAGCGUGGGUAGCGAACAGGAUUAGAUACCCUGGUAGUCCACGCCGUAAACGAUGUCAACUAGCUGUUGGGGAACUAUGUUCUUCAGUGGCGCAGCUAACGUAGUAAGUUGACCGCCUGGGGAGUACGGCCGCAAGGCUAAAACUCAAAGGAAUUGACGGA
rnacentral:rRNA from 1 species